GAUGAACGCUGGCGGCGUGCCUAAUACAUGCCAGUCGAGCGAACAGACGCGGAGCUUGCUCCUCUGUCGUUUGCGGCGGACGGGUGAGUCACACGUGGAUAACCUACCUAUCAGACUGGGAAAACUUCGGGAAACCGGCGCUUAUACCGGAUAAUCUCUUGCACCGCAUGGUUCAAUAGUGAAAGACGGUUUUGCUGUAACUUAUAGAUGGAUCUGCGCCGCAUUAGCUAGUUGGUAAGGUAACCGGCUAUCAAGGCUACGAUGCGUAGCCGACCUGGUGGGGUGAUAGGCCACAUUGGAAGGUAGACACGGACCAGACUCCUACGAGAGGGAGCAGUAGGGUAUGGUCCGCAAUGGGCGAAAGCCUGACGGAGCAGCGGCGCGUGAGAGAUGAAGGUCUUCGGAUCGUAAAACUCUGUUAUGAGGGAAGAACAAAUUUGGAAAUAACUAUGCACGUAGUGACGGUACCUAAUCAGAAAGCCACGGCUAACUACGUG
rnacentral:rRNA from 1 species